GGACUACACGGGUUUCUAAUCCCGUUUGCUCCCCUGGCUUUCGCGCCUCAGCGUCAGAAGGUGCCCAGUCCGCCGCUUUCGCCACCGGCGUUCCUUCGGAUCUCUACGCAUUUCACCGCUCCACCCGAAGUUCCGCAGACCCCUGCACCACUCGAGGCACCCAGUAUCGACAGCUCUUCUCCGGUUAGGCCGGAGGAUUUCACCACCGACUUGAGUGCCCGCCUACGCGCCCUUUAAGCCCAGUGAUUCCGAACAACGUUCGCACGGUUCGUCUUACCGCGGCUGCUGGCAC
rnacentral:rRNA from 3 species